GGAUCCAGACUUUGAUUCUGGCUCAGGACGAACGCUGGCGGCGUGCUUAACACAUGCAAGUCGAACGAGAAUCUAUGGAAGGAGGAUUCGUCCAAUUGAAAUAGAGGACAGUGGCGGACGGGUGAGUAACGCGUGAGGAACCUGCCUUUCAGAGGGGGACAACAGUUGGAAACGACUGCUAAUACCGCAUAACGCAUAGAGGUCGCAUGGCCUUUAUGCCAAAGAUUUAUCGCUGAAAGAUGGCCUCGCGUCUGAUUAGCUAGUUGGUGAGGUAACGGCCCACCAAGGCGACGAUCAGUAGCCGGACUGAGAGGUUGAACGGCCACAUUGGGACUGAGAUACGGCCCAGACUCCUACGGGAGGCAGCAGUGGGGAAUAUUGGGCAAUGGGCGCAAGCCUGACCCAGCAACGCCGCGUGAAGGAAGAAGGCUUUCGGGUUGUAAACUUCUUUUGUCAGGGACGAGCAGAAGACGGUACCUGACGAAUAAGCCACGGCUAACUACGUGCCAGCAGCCGCGGUAAUACGUAGGUGGCAAGCGUUGUCCGGAUUUACUGGGUGUAAAGGGCGUGUAGCC
rnacentral:rRNA from 1 species